rnacentral:rRNA from 1 species
UUUUCAUCAGACAAUCUGUGUGAGCACUGCAAAGUACGCUUCUUUAAGGUAAGGAGGUGAUCCAACCGCAGGUUCCCCUACGGUUACCUUGUUACGACUUCACCCCAGUCAUGAAUCACAAAGUGGUAAGCGCCCUCCCGAAGGUUAAGCUACCUACUUCUUUUGCAACCCACUCCCAUGGUGUGACGGGCGGUGUGUACAAGGCCCGGGAACGUAUUCACCGUGGCAUUCUGAUCCACGAUUACUAGCGAUUCCGACUUCAUGGAGUCGAGUUGCAGACUCCAAUCCGGACUACGACGCACUUUAUGAGGUCCGCUUGCUCUCGCGAGGUCGCUUCUCUUUGUAUGCGCCAUUGUAGCACGUGUGUAGCCCUGGUCGUAAGGGCCAUGAUGACUUGACGUCAUCCCCACCUUCCUCCAGUUUAUCACUGGCAGUCUCCUUUGAGUUCCCGGCCGGACCGCUGGCAACAAAGGAUAAGGGUUGCGCUCGUUGCGGGACUUAACCCAACAUUUCACAACACGAGCUGACGACAGCCAUGCAGCACCUGUCUCACGGUUCCCGAAGGCACAUUCUCAUCUCUGAAAACUUCCGUGGAUGUCAAGACCAGGUAAGGUUCUUCGCGUUGCAUCGAAUUAAACCACAUGCUCCACCGCUUGUGCGGGCCCCCGUCAAUUCAUUUGAGUUUUAACCUUGCGGCCGUACUCCCCAGGCGGUCUACUUAACGCGUUAGCUCCGGAAGCCACGCCUCAAGGGCACAACCUCCAAGUAGACAUCGUUUACGGCGUGGACUACCAGGGUAUCUAAUCCUGUUUGCUCCCCACGCUUUCGCACCUGAGCGUCAGUCUUUGUCCAGGGGGCCGCCUUCGCCACCGGUAUUCCUCCAGAUCUCUACGCAUUUCNNNNNNNNNNNNNNNNNNNNCUCAAGCCUGCCAGUUUCGAAUGCAGUUCCCAGGUUGAGCCCGGGGAUUUCACAUCCGACUUGACAGACCGCCUGCGUGCGCUUUACGCCCAGUAAUUCCGAUUAACGCUUGCACCCUCCGUAUUACCGCGGCUGCUGGCACGGAGUUAGCCGGUGCUUCUUCUGCGGGUAACGUCAAUUGCUGCGGUUAUUAACCACAACACCUUCCUCCCCGCUGAAAGUACUUUACAACCCGAAGGCCUUCUUCAUACACGCGGCAUGGCUGCAUCAGGCUUGCGCCCAUUGUGCAAUAUUCCCCACUGCUGCCUCCCGUAGGAGUCUGGACCGUGUCUCAGUUCCAGUGUGGCUGGUCAUCCUCUCAGACCAGCUAGGGAUCGUCGCCUUGGUGAGCCGUUACCUCACCAACAAGCUAAUCCCAUCUGGGCACAUCUGAUGGCAAGAGGCCCGAAGGUCCCCCUCUUUGGUCUUGCGACGUUAUGCGGUAUUAGCCACCGUUUCCAGUAGUUAUCCCCCUCCAUCAGGCAGUUUCCCAGACAUUNNNNNNNNNNNNNNNNNNNNCCCGUCCGCCACUCGUCAGCAAAGCAGCAAGCUGCUUCCUGUUACCGUUCGACUUGCAUGUGUUAGGCCUGCCGCCAGCGUUCAAUCUGAGCCAUGAUCAAACUCUUCAAUUUAAAAGUUUGAUGCUCAAUGAAUUAAACUUCGUAAUGAAUUACGUGUUCACUCUUGAGACUUGGUAUUCAUUUUUCGU